rnacentral:misc_RNA from 1 species
GCUGCUUGCCUUGCGUUUGAGCUUGGUGGGUGGUUGUUAGUUGGGUGAUUUCGGGAAUGUCUACCGUAAAGGUGCAUGAGUGGUGUUUGGUUUGUUACGGGUGGUUGGCUCUUUGCUUGCGCAACAACUUCCACCUGGCAUACCUCUUCAGUCUUGUGUCAAUGCUUGUAUCGCAUUGAAGGCAUAGUGGGUUUCCUGUGUUGCAUGCCUAAUGAUGGUAUCAUUUGAAGAAUUGAUGUCCAUUUUCGUCUUGUGUUGCACAUGGGAUGUGAGAUGAACCUUGAAGCAGCCUUUGUGUUCCACUCUUUCGAUGCACACAUAGAUUUUGUGGCCCACUAAGUGUUGCUUGGUCUCAUGGAUAUGGAACCUAGUGUGGGCAUGGGAUCUUUACUAGUUCCUUGUUUGCCCUAGUUUAGCUUUUCUAAUCGAUUGUCUAGCUAUAUCGAAUA